GAGUUUGAUUAUGGCUCAGAUUGAACGCUGGCGGCAGGCUUAACACAUGCAAGUCGAACGGUAGCAGGAGAAAGCUUGCUUUCUUGCUGACGAGUGGCGGACGGGUGAGUAAUGCUUGGGAAUCUGGCUUAUGGAGGGGGAUAACUACUGGAAACGGUAGCUAAUACCGCGUAAUAUCGAGAGAUUAAAGACUGGGACCUACGGGCCAGUUGCCAUAAGAUGAGCCCAAGUGGGAUUAGGUAGUUGGUGGGGUAAAGGCCUACCAAGCCCGCGAUCUCUAGCUGGUCUGAGAGGAUGACCAGCCACACUGGAACUGAGACACGGUCCAGACUCCUACGGGAGGCAGCAGUGGGGAAUAUUGCACAAUGGGGGGAACCCUGAUGCAGCCAUGCCGCGUGAAUGAAGAAGGCCUUCGGGUUGUAAAGUUCUUUCGGUGGUGAGGAAGGUAUCAACUUUAAUAGAGUUGGUAAU
rnacentral:rRNA from 1 species